GCGCAGCAGGCGCGAAAACUUUACAAUGUGCGAAAGCACGAUAAGGGAACUCUGAGUGCCUCCUAAGGAGACUGUUCUGAUGUCUAAAAAGCAACAGAAGUAAGGGCUGGGUAAGACCGGUGCCAGCCGCCGCGGUAACACCGGCAGCCCAAGUGGUAGCUGCGUUUAUUGGGUCUAAAGCGUUCGUAGCCGGCCAGGUAAGUUCCUUGGUAAAUUUAGCCGCUUAACGGUUAAGCUUUCAGGGAAUACUGCUUGGCUUGGGACUGGGAGAGGUCAGAGGUACUCCGGGGGUAGGGGUGAAAUCUAUUAAUCCCUGGGGGACCACCGGUAGCGAAGGCGUCUGACCAGACCAGGUCCGACGGUGAGGGACGAAGGCUAGGGGCGCGAACCGGAUUAGAUACCC
rnacentral:rRNA from 1 species